rnacentral:rRNA from 1 species
CAGAAUCCCGCCUAGACGUAACGAUACCGUAGCGCCGCGGAUCUUUGGUUGGCCCCGGAUAGCCGGCUUCGGUCGGUGAGCAGAGCCCCUCGUGACAGGGUUGGGGUGCGGCCGGACGGACGGUCGCCCCUCUCCUUCAUCGCAACGCAUGUUUGUGGAGAACCUGGUGCUAAAUCACUCGCAGACGACCUGAUUCUGGGUCAGGGUUUCGUACGUAGCAGAGCAGCUCCUUCGCUGCGAUCU